rnacentral:rRNA from 1 species
CGUUGCACUAUCGUUAACUGAAUACAUAGGUUAACGAGGCGAACCGGGGGAACUGAAACAUCUAAGUACCCCGAGGAAAAGAAAUCAACCGAGAUUCCCCCAGUAGCGGCGAGCGAACGGGGAGCAGCCCAGAGUCUGAAUCAGCAUGUGUGUUAGUGGAAGCGUCUGGAAAGUCGCAGGGUACAGGGUGAUACUCCCGUACACGAAAGUACACAUGCUGUGAACUCGAUGAGUAGGGCGGGACACGUGACAUCCUGUCUGAAUAUGGGGGGACCAUCCUCCAAGGCUAAAUACUCCUGACUGACCGAUAGUGAACCAGUACCGUGAGGGAAAGGCGAAAAGAACCCCGGCGAGGGGAGUGAAAAAGAACCUGAAACCGUGUACGUACAAGCAGUGGGAGCAUCCUUCGGGGUGUGACUGCGUACCUUUUGUAUAAUGGGUCAGCGACUUAUAUUCUGUAGCAAGGUUAACCGUAUAGGGGAGCCGCAGGGAAACCGAGUCUUAACUGGGCGUUAAGUUGCAGGGUAUAGACCCGAAACCCGGUGAUCUAGCCAUGGGCAGGUUGAAGGUUGGGUAACACUAACUGGAGGACCGAACCGACUAAUGUUGAAAAAUUAGCGGAUGACCUGUGGCUGGGGGUGAAAGGCCAAUCAAACCGGGAGAUAGCUGGUUCUCCCCGAAAGCUAUUUAGGUAGCGCCUCGUGAA